UUCGUCUGUCCUCAAUGCUUUCCAUGUAUCAGGGAGGCUCGGGUUCCCCUCAAGUGACUAAUGUCACUUUUAUCCCGAGCCUGCCCUCAUCCUUGAGAUGAAAAUAAACUGAUUUGAUUUGAUUUGAUUUGAAGGGCCCUACAUGAUUUAUAAACA
rnacentral:lncRNA from 1 species